AUGCCUCAGCACUUCUGGUCGGUGGCUGGGGCGGAGGAGGCGCUUGGCUGCAGGGUGGACAGGCUCGACAGCCGCACGCAAGAGCGAGACCACACCAAGUCUUUCGCUUGCUGGAUUUGGGUGUGGGAUGUUGGCCUCAUCCCGACGAAGCACACAUUCUGGGUGAUGCCAGGAGGCGCCGGCCACGUCGAGGAGAUGCUGGGCUACUCUCCACCCGGGCGUGCGGUUGCAACCCCACCCACGGCGGAGCGCCACGACAUUCUCAUCCACAUCGACCUCGUUGAAAACUGGACACCAUACCCGCCCCGAUCCCCGCCUUCAGGGCAGAGCGGCCUGCCAUUCGACGACUCUGAUGAUGAAGACCGUCCCAUGCCGAGGCUGUACCCGGGUACAUGGAAGAAAGGAACCGAAGAUGGCCAGAAGGAGCCACGGCAGAUCAGGAAGAUUUCCCAGGCGGUCGACUCCGGCUGCCGGGGCAUGCCGCGUGGGGAGCGCAGGCGUGACGGCGACGGCGAUGACAACGGUGGGCGCUGGUCCUGGAAGGAUACUCUCCUGGGACAGUGCCGCGCAGACAAGAACCAAGUGCAGUAG
rnacentral:rRNA from 1 species